rnacentral:lncRNA from 1 species
UGUCAGUGGACAUACUCAAAUAUUUUAUUUUCUGAAUAUGCACAUGUUAUGAAACAUGCCAGGCAGGUUGCUUUCAAGGAAUUGGUUCCCUCAUCUACAUACCAUAUAGGUUAGAAACAUUAAAUUUGCGGUGAGACUCAGCCUUAGAUGCUGUUCAAAAUCACACCGUGCUGGUUUGAGGGAAGUUUUUUCCCCAAAAAAACAAGUCAUGCAUAAAUGUUCUUCACGUAUUGUUGAUAAAUGCCGCUCGGGUUCGUAGCCUUCUAGGUGCCGUGAGAGAAUCAAAGUGUAGGCAAAGUCCCAAAUUAUAGCUGAAGAUGCUUUUCAUUUCCCACCAUUCUUAUUUUUGCUAUAUGUAGUCUGGAUUUUCAGGAGCUUCACGACUAACAGGAUUGCCAGAUUUAGUAAAUAUAGAUGAUGUCCUGAUAAAUUUGAAUUUUAGAUCACUUUUUUUGAGCUCGUGGGACAUACAUACGCUUUUAAAAAGUAUCUGAAAUUCCAAUUUAACUGAGCAUCCUAUAUUUUAUCUGGCAACCCCUAGUAACUUUUUUCUUUAAAAAAACAAAACAAAACAACAAACACUCUAAAUGGGAAGCAAAGGGAAAAGUUGUUUGGGCCAAGAGCAAAAAAACGUUCCAGGGCAGUCGGCCUUCUCCCAAACUUGGCCUAGAAGAGGGGGGAGGUCCCAAACCCGCUAGUCCUAAAGCCUGCGCAUUAAGGCGAGUUGUUGAGCGGAUUUCCCGCCUAUUUUCCGCGGAAAGUAGCACUGUGGCCACGCCGCAGGGGUGGAGCACAACAGGGCUGUGUCCUUGCCGGAUAGGAGAAGAGGCGCCGGAAACUUUAAACGAGGCCAAAGUACAACGUGUCCACUUCGGCGACGGAACAGUCAUAACAGCUAUUCACAUAGAUGUUGCAACUGUUAGCACCUUUAGAGUUCUCUGUUUCCCUAGGUAUUCUCUCUCCAACUCUUACCCCUUCGCUCUGUAAGACCUAGCAGUGGCUCCAGCAGCUAAGAAGUAAAUGGACAUUCCUGCCAGCUGUCUCCCUUCCUCACCACACCAACAGAGUCCCUGUGGAAGAAGCUUGAAUGAAAGCUAG